rnacentral:rRNA from 1 species
GAGUUUGAUCGUGGCUCAGAAUCAACGCUGGCGGCGUGCCUAACACAUGCAAGUCGAACGAGAAAGUGGAGCAAUCCAUGAGUACAGUGGGCGACCGGGUGAGUAACACGUGACUACCUACCCUUGAGUGGGGGAUAACCUCGGGAAACCGAGGCUAAUACCGCAUAAUAUCGAGAGAUCAAAGGAGAAAUCCGCUUUUGGAGGGGGUCGCGGCUGAUUAGCUAGUUGGUGAGGUAAUGGCCCACCAAGGCGAAGAUCGGUAUCCGGCCUGAGAGGGCGCACGGACACACUGGAACUGAAACACGGUCCAGACUCCUACGGGAGGCAGCAGUGGGGAAUUUUGCGCAAUGGGGGAAACCCUGACGCAGCAACGCCGCGUGGAGGAUGAAGCCCCUUGGGGUGGUAAACUCCUUUCGACCGGGAAAAUAAUGAUGGUACCGGUGGAAG